rnacentral:rRNA from 1 species
UACGUAGGGUGCGAGCGUUAAUCGGAAUUACUGGGCGUAAAGCGUGCGCAGGCGGUUUUGUAAGCCAGGUGUGAAAUCCCCGGGCUUAACCUGGGAAUGGCAUUUGGGACUGCAAGGCUUGAGUGCGGCAGAGGAGACUGGAAUUCCUGGUGUAGCAGUGAAAUGCGUAGAUAUCAGGAGGAACACCGAUGGCGAAGGCAGGUCUCUGGGCUGACACUGACGC